ACAAGAUGCUGCUGGGCAUCAAGACCCGCCUGGAGCAGGAGAUUGCUCAGUACCGGGCUCUGCUCCAUGAGGGACAGCAAGACCUUGCUGCCUCCCAAGGAGCUUUCCAAGGAGGUGGAAAAUCCUCCCAGUCAUAUUCUUCUAGUUCCUUCUCUCAAUCCCAGUCUGGUGACGUGACAGGGCAGUCAAGAGUGUGCUAGAGCAACAGCAGUGAUGCUGGCAUCCUCCUCCUAAGAUGCACUGAACUGACCCACGGACGAUGAGAGGCAGAACGCAAUGCUCCUGCAGCACAGCCCAUGCGAUGCGGUGCGGAGGAGCGCUCAUCGCUGGCCUCACCUUCCCUUCUGCAAUGCUGGCCUUACUCAACUUGUCCUUGUCAACUGGAUCUUUGUUUAAAAGCUUGAAUUCUGCUGAUAAUGCUGUCAUUAAUAAAACUUCACUUCUUUGAUGCAAAUAAAAAUGUCUAAGGAAUUUAAUUUAACAAACUUUGAACACAUAUUAUCAAGCCAGCCAACAAAACACAGGCUGUCCUGCCAUGGUCUGUACACACACUGAGAACAACCAGUUCUGCUGUAAGAAAAUGGCCACUGUGCCCAGGUGUCAUCAGUGAGCUAAGGAAAGGAGAAGGAAAAUGAUGGGUAAUCUCUGAAGAUUAAGUAACCGUGACUGCACCAAACUGCGCUCACUGCCACUGCUCUGACACAUCAGAAUCCAUUCAUCUCUGGCUUUACUCGGUUCACUAUAGGUACAGCUCCCAGGGAAGGUGUGACUCAGUACAGGUUGCUGCAGUACGAUGGGGUUUCAUGACGUUAAGUAUUUCCACACCUUUGACUAUGCAGAAAGUUCUGAUUCCUAACCUCUGCUAGGAAAUGCAGGCAACAAGGGAACACGCCUGUUUCAUUUAGUUUCAUGCAGCAAAAACAUUCUCACAUUUUACAGCUGAAAUUCCAACUUAAAUACUAAUAUAAUGCCAAGAAGUCUCUUUUGUCUGUAUCAGCCAUUGGUUGACACAGCACCUUCCAAGGAAUCAGAAACCUGUUUCCCCCAUGGAUGGUAUUUUCUUAAUGUUUCUGUUUCUCUCAGAAGAUAAAAGUGUGCAAUACGACUGGAGAUGAAAAGGCAAUGCUAGAACAGAUGCUUUAUACAUGUUCUGCUUUCUGAAGGACACAGCAAUCCCCUUUUCAAUCCAUAACUGCACUUCAGCUCCCCAAAGGCAGCUUUCAGCCCAUUGAGAGCACCUCCUGCGCCCCCCUCCACCACCAGCCCGGCCAUUUCACUGAAGGCUGAGGCACUGUUUCCAUAGGGUAACAAAACAAAAAGCUUUCUCAUCCCAAGCAACUCAGCAGUUAUUUAGGUUAGGUGUUGUUUCGGUAGCUAUGUGGCUGGGCUCGGCCAUCACAGUAACAUAAUUGCAGCUCACAGCAUCUGCAAUGAGGAGAUACUUCUUGCUCAUCUUGAAAAGCUGGGUUGUCAAACUGACUUUUUUAGGCUAGCAUCAGGAAUUCGUGUGAAGAAAAGCCCUAUUCCAAAGAAAAAAGGUUCAUUUAAGGUUUUAACAAUAGAGAAAGCGAUGCAAAGCAAAUGCAAACAUGAGUUUCCUUUCCAAAUGCUACCAGAGCUCAUUCAGGUCUCAGCUGCACUUAACACAGCCAAUGAUGUUACGAAGAUCUCUCUCAGGAAAGGCUGUGGAGACCUGAACCCCAGUUAGUGCGUAUAAAUAAGCACUGCAAGGCUGUUUUGUUUGGCUCUAAACCUCCAGCAGCAGCACAGAGAAGCACUGCAAUGACCAAAGCUACAGCCUUCCACACCACAGUGCUUUAGGGAGCACAGAACGUUUCGGGAUCAGUGUGUAAGAGUGUGAGGGUGUUGUGAAACAGACGGCAGCUUCCAGUUACAUCUGGAAAGCCAAAGCUGUGAAAAAUCUUCAGGCUGAAAGGAGUGGACGUCCCAUAAAACUGCCACUGACUGCAGCAGAAUGAGAUCACCGCUGAGUCCUCCCCAUAACCACCCUCUGCGUGUUGCCACUGGCUCGGUGGGCGCUGACCUCCCCUGGGUGUGGAGCAGGAGCAUCUUCCCAGGGAAGAUGACGGAGCACACAGAGCUGUGCAGAAGGCAGCACACGCUGGGUGCUGUCAGCAGGGCUGCCCCUGGGCCCAGCUGCCUCCCGCCAGCGGCUGCUCUGGCUGCACCACAGCCGCGGCUGCGCCAGGAGCGAUACGAGAUGUGCACUGCUCUGGAGAGAGCUGCAGGGAAUAAAAAGGGCCUUGGCAGGAUGGAAUUUCUGUCUGGGUCACUCUGAUGGAGUUCCUGCUGAAGCAGAUCAGAGAAGCAUGCUUCGGACCAAGAGGAGGGCACUCAUUCACUGCAGAACACUUAAUUGCCAGGAGAUGCUUCUAAGGUUGUCCCCUCCCUCGUGUGAGACCAAAGACAUAUAUCCAGUGAUGGCAUCAUGGUUUCUGUGAAAACCACUGAAUAUUUUGAUUCUUUUGCCAAUUCAGAGCAUCUGUUUGUGCUCUGAUCCCAAUUUCACCAGUGAGUAAACAGCAAUUAGAAAGUUUUCAAAACACUGAUACUUCAGAUCAACUGCUCUGAUUGUGAGCAAAAAGUCCCCCAGGGGAAGGAGCGAUGUCACGGAGCUGAGGAGCCCCUGUGCCGCCCACAGCAGCCCCAGGCCGACCUCCUCCUGCCACUGCAGGGCUCUGAAUGCCGACGGCAGCCCAGGAAUUGGUGCUUGUAGGAGUGCUGAGGAUCUGUGUGCCUCCAACACAGCCCUGCGGCUGCCUCAGCCCAACACAGAGCCACGGCACGCAGGACCAAAACGGAGUGGGACACGGAAAGGAGCUGCAGAACAGAAAGACUGAAAUGUAAAACAGCCAUGACCAUGUUAGAAAAAAAGGAAAAAAGGAAAAAAGGGAUGGUGAGACAUAGAAAAGCUCUCUGUCGAUGGCGUGAAAUUACAGCGUUGGGAAAUGUUUGGAAUUGUUGGGUCAGAUGUUAUGAUGCAACAAUACCGAGAAGCAGAUAUAAAAUCAACACCUCUGGCAUCAAUGCCAAUCAGCAAUAAACAUCUCAUAAGGAAGAAUAAAAGAGCAUUUCAACAAUCUAAUGGGGAAAAUAUGAGUAAGGAAUCACACCCUGUGAGAAAAUCAUUUUUCUUUUUUAAUAAUGAUGACUCAGUCCCAGAUAUGCAAAGCAACUGGUUCUGACGUGCAGGUAAUUAGAGAGCUACUAAUAAAUGAACAAUCCUAAUUACAAAGAUCAAAGUAUCAAAUUAUCUUCAGCAUAUCUAUGAAACAUGUGUAGUGGUACCAAAGCAGGGUGAACGGCUCUCCCUGACUCUCCACUCAAUUACUGCACACAUCAGGGAUUUUACGGGUUCAGAACUGGUUUGGCCAAGAGACAGAAUGUUGCCCCAGCCACAACUUGAAGCAAGGAGGACCAUCAGUGAAGAAACCCACAAGGAGAACUGGUAGAGAUGAAUUCCCAUCAAAGUUUCCCUCUCCCAUAAGGAGCCUCCUGUCUCCCAGGCUUAAAAUGCAUGUUCUCCAGAAGUGACUGAAUGGCAAAAUCCCAUUUGCAAAGAAGGGUUCUUCCCACCCUGUUCUCCGACAAAUGCUGCGAUUGUGCCACUGCACCAAAGCCAGAAGGCACUGGGGAUUGAAAGGGUCACAGCUGAGUGUCCUUUACGUGAAGAAUGAAUGCCUCCCAUGAACAGACCAAGGCCAACCUCACAGCUGCCUCCUCUGCCAUCAAAACCCCCACAGCACAGGCACCUUCCAAACCAUCAUGCUUCCACGGACAGAAUGCUUUCCCUUGUUUCCAGCACUCAAGGCCAGACAACAUCCUUCCCUAUGAACAACAGAACUGUCUUUAUUUUAAAUAGCAGCGGUGCCUCCUUCCAGAGGAGCAAGCUGACACCACCUCAGCCUUCUGUUUGCUAAGGUAAAAAGCUGCACCCGCUUUCUGUCCUCUCCCAAGACACUCAGUGGUGUGAAAUCCACACCUCUCUUUCUGCUUAGAAUAGCCUGGAAACCAGCUAACAUAAAAGAAGAAAAAUUCAGAAGCACAGCUUUAAGGAAUGACAUUCUUGCAUGUCCUCCGUUCUGUGCACAACAUCAGGUUAUUUCCUGGAGAUGGAACCAGUUUGGUGAAGCAGGAACGCUGCCUCUUCAGCAAUUCUUCUUCUGAGAUUUACCAAUAAACACCAUGAAGAUGCUGCACAAGAUGAGCUUUCUCUGUAGGACAGCUAAACCUCAGAGAUGUUGUUUCCAAAAAAAAAAAGGCAAAAUUAAGGGACCUGAAUUCAUAUUUCUCCAACUCUAAAAUUGAACGGUAACAAAGUGGUGCUUUCACCACCUCUGCUCAGGUCAAAAAAAUGACAAGGAUCAAAGAGGAACUAUUAAAAUAAGUUUCACUCAUGAAGUAGCCAGCAACACACUAUCUGAAACAAAAUCUAACACACAGCCACCCACCCCAAAUUAUAGAGCGUGCUUGGUGUGAAUCAGCAUUGCAAACACAAUACCUAUGGGGAGGGCUGUCCCAGGUCCCAAAAGAAAUUCCCCUUAGCACAUCACUUUUGGCAUGAGCGCUG